rnacentral:lncRNA from 1 species
CGAGGACCCGACGGAGCUACACCCGCUAGUUCAGCCAGGAGGCCCUGCGCGGCUCCGGGGAGAGCUGGGUGGUUAUGCCACCUCAUUAGACACAUUGGUGGACGAUGCCGCGGAUUAGCGGUGCGAGUGAUUCAAGGAAAUCCGACUGGAGGGAACACACGCUGCGAUGCACCCUCUCCUCUUCCACUGAGCCAGGGGUGACCUUGAGAG